UUGGAUUAAUAUACAGCAAUAACAACAACAAUGACAAUCCAUUAUUCCCACAAAGUGGGGUCUGGGGAGGGUAAUUUGUACUUUAUACACAGACUUUACUCCUACCCGAUAGACAGAGAAGUUAUUUCUGAUAUACCCAGGAAGAUGAAAAAAUAUAUGGCAUUACAUCAUUGAAAAUAAUGAAGGGUCCCAACUAUUAAUGACUAUACACAUAGAAAUAUUAGAAUAGAACUACCCACAAUAGAAUAGAAUUGGAUGUCAUUUUGUAAUCACAGUAAAAGUACAGAUACAUUGACUUUUGAAGCAAAUUGGAGUGACCUUAUCUUUCUGCAGUAGAAAAGAGUUGCUUCAAUACAAUCUUUCAAGAGUCACCAUAAGCAGUUUAUAAGCAACUUCAUAUUGCUUUUAUCCUCCUAAUUUGAGUUUGAGUUACUCUUCAAAGAACCACUAAAUAAAUACUACGUCGAGAACACAGUUGAUAGCCUUGCCAAAUUAUAUAAAAAGAUCGAAUAAUAAAGAUCUAAAUUCACGGAAUAGGUGAACUUGCAAUAAUAGUUGUAACAGUAGCUUGUAUUAAUAUAACCUGACAAAAUUAGAACUAAACAUGAAAUUCCGAUGGGGAGCAUUCUAGAUUAGUUGUGGAUUAACAUGAAUAAGGAAAUUAAUAGAGAUCAGUAUGAUGUGAUUAUAGAUUGACUUAAAGGGGUUUUACAGACUGCUCGAGGUGAUGGGCUUGGUAUUUCGACAUGAAUAUGGUAAAUAGUAAUCUAUCGCAAUUUGUGUUUUUAUAACCUGCAUAGUUCAUAUAAAAAAAGUAAAAGUACAACCUAAUAUAAUCCCACAUAGUAGGGUCUGGGGAGGGUAGCAUGUACGCAGACCUUACCCCUACCCUGGGGUAGAGAGGCUGUUUCUGGGGUCUGGGGAGGAUAGUAUGUACGCAGACCUUACCCCUACCCUGGGGUAGAAAGGCCGUUUCCAAAUAGACCCCCGGCAUCCUUCCCUUCAAGAACUUCCCACCUUUGCUCUUGGGGAGACUCGAACUCACAACCUCUCGGUU
rnacentral:lncRNA from 1 species